rnacentral:ncRNA from 1 species
CAAAGGCUUGGUCCUGACUUUACUAUCAGCUCUGAUUAAAUUUACACAUGCAAGUGUCAGCAGCCCCGUGAGAAUGCCCUCAGCCUUCUGCCCGAAGACAAGGAGCUGGUAUCAGGCACAACUUAUAAUUUAGCCCAAGACGCCUUGCUCAGCCACACCCUCAAGGGAACUCAGCAGUGAUAAACAUUAAGCCAUAAGCGAAAGCUUGACUUAGUUAAGAUCUUUAGGGCCGGUAAAACUCGUGCCAGCCACCGCGGUUAUACGAGAGGCCCAAGUUGAUAGGCGACGGCGUAAAGAGUGGUUAAGAGCCCCCUAAACUAAAGCCAAACGUCUCCAAAGCUGUUAUACGCACCCGAAGAAUAGAAGACCAACCACGAAAGUGGCUUUAACUCAUCUGAACCCACGAGAACUAUAACACAAACUGGGAUUAGAUACCCCACUAUGUAUAGUCAUAAACUUUGAUAGAGUCCUACGCACUAUCCGCCAGGGUACUACGAGCACUAGCUUAAAACCCAAAGGACUUGGCGGUGCUUUAGACCCCCCUAGAGGAGCCUGUUCUAGAACCGAUACCCCCCGUUCAACCUCACCACCCCUUGCCCUUGCUGCCUAUAUACCGCCGCCGUCAGCUUACCCUGUGAAGGCCCAAUAGUAAGCAAAACUGGCAUAGCCUAAAACGUCAGGUCGAGGUGUAGCGCAUGAGGUGGGAAGAAAUGGGCUACAUUCUCUAACCCAGAGAACACGAAAGGCAUGUUGAAACACAUUCCUAAAGGAGGAUUUAGCAGUAAGUGAAAAAUAGAGUGUUUCACUGAAGCCGGCUCUAAAGCGCGCACACACCGCCCGUCACUCUCCCCGAGUAAGCUUUUUGAAGAAUAAGUAAAACACUAAAUUAAACCAAGGGGAGGCAAGUCGUAACAUGGUAAGUGUACCGGAAGGUGCACUUGGAAAAAU